AAAAAAAAAGUUAGAGAGAGAGAAGAGAGGAUGAGGAUAGGAGAGACAGGAGGCAAGAAAAGGUUUUGACUAAGAUCCUGGCCACAGUAGGAGAAAGAGAUAAUGGAAGAAGAGGUAGACAGUCAGGGAAACUGGGAGACAAAAGACAGCAGGGACCAAGGAGACCCAGAGAAGGCUGCAGGGCCUGGAGAGGAAACAAUGCGCAUAUUGCAAGGAAAUGGGCCACUGGAAGAGCGACUGUCCAAAAAAAAAAACCCAAGAGGUAAAAGUGCUUUCUCUUGGAGAAGAUAAAGACUAGGGGGAACGGGGCUUGGCCCCCCUCCCCAAGCCUAGGGUAAUCUUAGAAGUGGAGGAGACCCCCGACACGGGAGCCGAAUUUUCAGUACUCAAAACACCUCUAGGAAAAGUGAAGAAAAAUGAAAAAACCUUGGUGAUCGGGGCCACGGGACAAAAAUCGUAUCCAUGGACCACAUCCCGAGUAGUAGACAUAGGGCGAAAUCGAGUAACUCAUUCGUUUCUAGUCAUUCCAGAGUGUCCUAUGCCUUUAUUGGGGAGAGACUUACUAACCAAGUUAAAAGCACAAAUAACUUUCACCUCUCAUCGACCAGAGGUUUUCUGGGGAAUAAAAGCGCUCCAGACUCUAGAGCUGUCUUUUCAACUAGGGGAGGAAUAUCGACUUUACCAAAAUAAAGUAAAGCCCCNUGAGGGAUUACAGGACUGGUUGAAUCGAUACUCUCAGGCAUGGGCAGAGACAGGAGGAGUGGGGAUGGCAAAACUGGUCCCCCCCAUGGUGAUUGAACUUAAGUCCAGGGCCACCCCUAUAGGGGUCCNACAAUAUCCCAUGAGCAGAGAAGCUCAAGAGGGUAUACGCCCCCAAAUCAACAAACUGCUCCAACAAGGGAUUUUGGNCCCAUGCAAAUCCCCUUGGAACACUCCUCUACUUCCAGUAAAAAAAAACCAGGGACCAGUGACUACCGUCCAGUCCAGGACCUUAGAGAAGUCAAUAAGAGUUCAGGACAUACACCCCACGGUGCCAAAUCCUUAUAACCUCCUUAGCACCUUGCCACCUGGUCAGACAUGGUACACAGUCCUACAUCUCAAAGAUGCUUUUUUCUGUUUGAGGUUACACCCCAACAGCCAGCCCUUGUUCGCUUUCGAAUGGCGAGACUCCGAGAGUUGACAAGCUGGACAGCUCACAUGGACUAGGCUGCCUCAGGGAUUCAAGAACUCGCCCACUUUGUUCGAUGAAGCCCUACACUGAGAUCUUGCUCUUUUCCGAGCCAAUAACCCACAGGUGACUCUUCUACAAUAUGUAGAUGACCUGCUCCUAGCUGCAGAAACACGCGAGGACUGUGAAAUUGGGACCCAAAACCUCCUGGGAAAGUUAGUCACCAAUGAAAGGAAAGGCCUGGGCUGUGAAGGAACGAAGUGAACCUAACCCUGCUCGCCAAAGGAAUUUCCAAAAAAACUCCUGGGGAAGAAGCAAGAAAUAAACUCUUGGAUCUUCUUUUUAAAAUUUGUUUUCCUUUCCAGCUUUUCCUUUUUUUUAAGACCGGGUCUCCCUCUGUAGCCCCUGGCUGACCUGGAAGUCACUAAAUCAGUGGUUCUCAGACUUCCUAAUGUUGUUCCCCAUAUCAUGGUGACACACACACACAACCAUAAAAUUAUUUCGUUGCUCCUUCGUAA